rnacentral:rRNA from 1 species
AGAGUUUGAUUAUGGCUCAGAACGAACGCUGGCGGCAUGGAUUAGGCAUGCAAGUCGAACGAAGCAGCAAUGCUUAGUGGCGGAAGGGUGAGGAACGCGUGAGUAAUCUGCCCCCAAGUUGGGAAUAACAGCUGGAAACGGCUGCUAAUACCGAAUGUGGCUGCGGGACCGCAUGGUUCUGCAGUUAAAGAUUUAUUGCUUGGGGAUGAGCUCGCGUCCCAUUAGCUGGUUGGUGAGGUAACGGCUCACCAAGGCGAUGAUGGGUAGCUGGUCUGAGAGGAUGGUCAGCCACACUGGGACUGAGACACUGCCCAGACUCCUACGGGAGGCUGCAGUCGAGAAUCUUGGGCAAUGCGCGAAAGCGUGACCCAGCCAAUGCCGCGUGCGUGAUGAAGGUCUUCGGAUUGUAAAGCGCUGUCAACCGGGACGAAAGAUGACGGUACCGGUGAAGGAAGCCACGGCUAACUACGUGCCAGCCGCAGC